rnacentral:rRNA from 1 species
UACGUAGGGUGCAAGCGUUGUCCGGAAUUAUUGGGCGUAAAGAGCUCGUAGGCGGUCUGUCGCGUCGGAUGUGAAAAUCCAGGGCUCAACCCUGGACCUGCAUUCGAUACGGGCAGACUAGAGUUCGGCAGGGGAGACUGGAAUUCCUGGUGUAGCGGUGAAAUGCGCAGAUAUCAGGAGGAACACCGGUGGCGAAGGCGGGUCUCUGGGAAACAACUGACGCUGAGGAACGAAAGCGUGGGGAGCAAACAGG